CGGCCGCAGCAGCAGCGGCAGUCACAGGCACAUCAGCAAAGAGGCAUAGUACCAAUUCUGUGUCAGGCAUUUUAUUCACUUUGUUUCAACUGUUCUUGAGAUCCCUGAGGAUUAGGACUAUUGCAGUUAUAAGUCUAUAACUGAGGAAAGGAAGCUUAUCUGGACAGGAAGAUAUUUAGAGUAUGAUAUAAAGACAGUCUCUUUUUAAAAACAACAUUUUAAAGGUUUAUUCCCUGCUGUCCUGAAUCUUGCUUCUAAUGCUCUUAUCACGACCAAUGCAACAUGUGG
rnacentral:sRNA from 1 species